UCGCGUGAAAGGCGCGAGUUCGGCCUCCCAAGAUGGCGGCUUCCCCCGGCGCGAUGGCGGAGGCGGAAGUCGGCCGGGCCCUUGUCUCACCCAGCCUUAGAGCCAUCAUCUGGAUCCACAAACUCCUUUUUGUCCUCCCCAGAAGUUCAACUGAAUUAAGCAUGGAUGGAUGGAUGGAGGGAAGGAGAGAGACAGAAACCAGCAGCCUGGAACUCCCUUACGGGUGACAGGGACUCACCAACUUGGGCCAUCACUGCUACUUCCUAUGGUCUGCAUUAGCAGGAAGCUGGAGUCAGGAGCUGGAGCUGGGAAUCAAAGCAGUAGGUACACUGGUGGUCACCUGUUCUUGGAUCUCCAUGUAGAUAUGAAGUUACCUCCUAUACUAUGUACCUGGGAAGAAGAAUUCAGAUAAAGUCAACAAAAGAAGGAUGAAGUGUAUACCAUAUGACAAACAUUGUGCUCAGACCUGGAUAGGAAAUGGGAAAUGAUAUUAGCAUGGACUCUACAGGCCAAAAUGGAAGAAGAAAAGACAUGCACGGAUACUCCUCAGCAUGACAUCUCCAGGACCUUUAAACCUCAGAGCACAGUGUGUUUACAAUGCGCGAAACAGGAUUUCCGUCUGCAUUCUCAUUUGCAGCUGGUGAUAUAAUCAUAACUAGCUGCAAGCUCUUAAGAUGCAACCGUAUAAAUUCAUUGUUUAGGAGCAGACUUGCUGUAGAACUGUGUACUAUAGGAGUGUAUACUGCCAGCAUAAAAGGAGGGAAUGCCUUUGAAAUUAAGUGCAUUUUUCUUUCUUAGAAAUUCUUAUUUUAGGAAAUGGCCCUUUUUCUGGAGAGAUGCAAUUCCAGGUACCAUGGUCUGCCAUAUAAGACCAUUUAACAUAGUGGUUUUUCUUUCCUAUUUCUCAAGUUUUAUUCUCUUUGGUUUAUUUUGUUUAUAUUUGGUAAGGGUUUAAGAGGGUACGUUGAUUUGUAGCUGUUCUGAUGAGCAUAUGCAUUACUUUGGUACAGAACCUCUUUAGAUAGACUUGUAAAAAUGUGAGUUUUUUGUUUUUAGAUCGUAAACUUCAUUAUCUUUCAGUCUUUCCUGCCAGUUCAAGCAAAUGUUCACAAUCUCGAAAUCUCAUAACUAAGAUAAACGGAAGGUUUGGUUUACAAAUACAAAUGAAUAUGCUACUUAGUUUUUUUUAAUAGACUUUUUUUAAAGAGCUUCCUUUCUGUGCAAGGGCAUUUGACAGUAUUAAGAAGAACAGUAGGAUUUAAGAAAUAGAUUUGUAGUGAGCCAGAAGUCUACUGAACUAUCAGAUGACUUUCAAGAGUUUUAAAGUCCAUAUAUCCUUCUCAGGAGUUCUCUGUUAAGGUCACCCUUUAACAUGAAAUAAAAUGCAAUCUCACUAUAUUCUUUGAUCCUGUGUGUGUGUGUGUGUGUGUGUGUGUGUUGUGGACAGAUUGUAUAUAUGUGUACAUUCUUUUAUUCAAGAUAGUAUUUUUUUUCAUUUAACACACACACACAGAGGGAAAGAGAGAGAUAUCUUCCAUCUACUGUCUCACUCCCCAAAUGCCCACAAUAGCUAGGACUGGGCCAGGCUGAAGCUAGGAGCCAGGAACUUAUUUUGGGUCUCCCAUGUGGGUGCCAGAGAUCAAGUAUUUGAGUCAUUACCUUCUUCUUCCCAGGGUGUGCAUUAGCAGGAAGCUAGAAUUAGAAGCAGAGCCAGGACUCAAACUCAGGUACUCUCGUAUGGAAUGUGGGCAUCCAACUGCUACACCAAAUACCUGUCCCUAUUUAAUAUGAUUUUGAAGAUACUUAUCUAGCAGUGAAGUAAGCACAAUAUAGUAUUAAAGAAGCAUGAACUUGGUUAAAUCUUAUAGUAUUAGGCUAGAGAAGAUAUCAUUAACACUGAGACAUUUAAAAUUAUUUAUUUGAGAGAACGAGCAAGCACAAUCAUCUCUGUUGGUUCACUUUCCAAACACCCACACAGCUGGGGCUAGACUGGGCUGGGCUGGAUGUCAGGAACUCAGUCUGGAUAUCUUGCAUCUGGGGGAGGAAUUCCAUUACUUCCAGGAUUUGCAUUAGCAGGGAGCUGGACUCAGGAGCCAGAGCAGGGGAUUCAGUCUAAGCAUUCUGAUACAGGACACAGACAGUUUAACCAGUGCCUUAACCUUUAGGUUACAUGCCUGCCCAGUGUGAUACAUUUUAACUAUGGAGAAAUAAGAAAUAUUAAAGCAGUAUAAAAUAGGUAUAGCUAAUUCCUGGUUGGAAUUAGAUAUGUGAUCUAUUGCUGUGAAACUCUCCAUGUGGAUAAAUGUGAGCUCAUUAACAGGUAAUUUGCAGGAGAGGCUGAGUUGGGGGCUGUGGUGGUAGUCCUGACCCUCUCCUUUCCUGAUCUGAAGGAUUCUGCACUGGCCCUAAAUCUCAUGCCCCACUAGGUAUAACGAAACUCCCUCAGUUAGCCAAACCCACCCCUUUUGCAAGGCAGGUUAGCCCAUUUCUGGUUUUCCAUUGGAUUUUACCUCCAGUAUAGUAUCAUAAGCAUACUCAAGAGGACUUUGGUAAAUCCAAUUUAUUUUCAUCUCAUUACAUUUUGCAUGAUGUUUCAGUACCCUUUAUAAAUUAGGAUUCUGAAAUGUUGAGGUCUAUGGAAAUCUCCCUGGGAAAUAGUGUUCAGGUGGGGCCUUAAAGGAACAGUAGAAGCCAUUAACAAGAAGAGGAGCCAGGAUAAGGAAUUCAACCAAGGAAAAAGGAUCAGCAUGCACAAAGGCUCUGAGACAGGAAGAGCAGAUGCUGAGAAGGCCGGGGAGGGACACACAGGAGGCCUGGGAUGUGGCUGGAAUAGGUAAAAUUAAUUUCUUUUUGCUCACUUGUACCCCCAGUUCUAUUCUUAUCUAUUUCUAUUCUUAUCUAUUUCUGUCAUAUUCUGUGCUCUGCAAACUUGACCUUUGUAGAAUGGAUCACCAGGCUCCUUGUUGGCAGGCUGUUGGAUUUGGUCAAUAAGAUACAAUGGCAAUAUUUUGAAGUGUGGUGGUAAUGAUAGGUUGAAGUAUGUUUCUUGUCUCAUUCUCUGCCUUGGUACUCUAUUUCAGAUAAGAACUGCACCCUACAACUCCUCUGGAGACUUCUCUUCCAUGGCUUCAGCUGGCAUUAGGUCCUUGGAGAAUCAUAACUUUGAUUUCUGGGGUAUUUUGUCACAUUAUAAUAGUUUAUCAAUAACCCACCAUCUUUGAUUUGCUCCCUAAACUAGGCCUAUACUCUUUUUGUAAAAAGUCCUUAAAUUAUCUUCAUUUCAAUUAUGUGGAAUGAAUUCUGCUUUAUAUAGAGAACCUGACCACACAGGUGAGUUCUAAGGCUUUAUGGCUGAGGGCAAAUUUCUUAGCUUCAAUAAAAACACCACUUUUCUUACCUCAAGAUUUUUGAUUUCCCAUGCUGUUGAUGAUAAAAAGACCCAUGAAAAAUCUUAGUAACUAUCAUGCUUCUUUCUGGUAUGAACCAUAUAUAAGACUGGACAAAGGUACACCUGCAAGAUUGGAGAAGAUUUUCUAUACCUCCUGAUUCUUUUAUUUUGCCUAUUUGGAAGGCCAUUUCUGACCCCCCACAUUGCUAUUUUGUGCUAAACUGAGGAAUUUGAAAUGUUUAUACUGAAAGCUAUAUAUAUUUCCAGACUGGCAGUCAUCACACAUGACAUAUAGAUCUAUGAUACAAUACAUAUGUUUUAUGAUGAAUUAGUAAGUUGCUCCUUCCUCCUAUGUGGAAAUCUCACAAUAAAAGAUUCUUGUGGCUAGUCAGUUGGCUCAGAAUAGGAUAUCAUUACUGUUCCUAGUUAAACGAUUGAAGUUUGCAAGUCAUUACUCAUGCAGUCAUGGUUCUCAUCUAGUAACAACACUUCUUGUGUUCUGCUAUGCUCUCUUGAGAGAAAAAGCAAUUAAGAUACAGCUUACAUGCAGGGAAUUGUGCAGAUCCCCGCCUACUUUGUCUAUUAUCUUAGUAGUGAAUGGGAGUGGUGAAUCAGUUAUCUAACAAUCACUUUGAAAUAAAAAAAGAACUACAGCUUUCAUGUGUACCUUUGACUUCCAGUAGUUUUUCAUUUUGUGAUAUGUAUGUGAAGAGGUCUUAUUUUAUUUUUGUGUAAGGCAACUGACUGCAAGGAAUAGUAAUUAUAAACCAUUAAUGUUUGCAUUUAGAAUGUCAGCUUUAGGAGGGCAGGGAUUUUGUCUGGUUUGUUUACUGCUAUGACUCAGUGAGUAGACUCAUAUCUGGUGUAUACCAGGUGCUCAAUGUGUAUUUGUGGAAAAAUACAUAUUUUUCUUUCUGCUUAAGAGGAUAAAAGAAUAGAUUUUAGAAUCUAGUAAAGUUGCUGGCACCUAGAUUUGACCGUCAUUGGGUAUCCUAUAUCAUGUGAUUUAACUAAUUUUGUGUUCUUUGAUUUCUUCAUCUAUUUUUCUUUAAAAUAAGCUAUGAAUAUCUACUUCACUGUAAGAUUCAAAUAGGUAUGAAAAUACAGUUAAGAAACACUAAUGCUUCAUCAAUAUUAUUCUUGUCAUAAUGUGAUGUUAGUAACAAACGUCUUGUAAUUUCUGUAUCAAGAAAAGCUGAGGGGCCAGCGCUGUGGCAUGGUGGGUAAAGCUGCCGCCCACAGUGCCAGCAUGCCAUAUGGGCGCCGGUUCAAGUCCUGGCUGCUCCACUUCCAAUCUAGCUCUCUGCUAUGGCCUGGGAAAGCAGUAGAAGAUGGCCCAAGUCCUUGGGCCCCUGCACCUGCAUGGGAGACCCAGAAGAAGCUCCUGACUCCUGGCUCCUGGCUCGGUUUGGCGCAGCUCUGUCUGUUGCAGCCAUCUGGAGAAUGAACUAGCAAAUGGAAGAUUUCUUCCCCCCCCCCCCCAACUCUGCUUUUCAAAUAAAUAAAAUGAAUCUUUAAAAAAUAUAAAUUAACUUCUAUCAGUUUGUAUACUCUUAAAAAAAAAAAGAAAAACUGAUAAUGUUUCCCAAUGUUGAUGGGGUCUUUGGCAUGGAAGAGCUAACAGCUCAGACUAGUCCUAUGGGAAAGUUCAGAUUUGAGAAAUAGAGAUUUAUACCAAGGCCUGUGCCUUUCUCCAUUUAGACUGUAUGAAACAUGGGUUAAAGUUGACUUUAAUUAAAGGAAACAGUAAUUUGGACCAAUUUGAUUCAUAUUAUUCAUUUCAGGGAAAAGAUGUCAAAGGGUUUUUUAAGACAUAUAAUGCACUGGAGAAAACUCCAAGAACUAGGAACUCUAGGCUAAACUCUGUGUUUUGUUGAAAUAAUUUUCUCAUCUAUAAAAUGAACCUGAUAAUCCCUGCCUUCUCCCUCAUAUAGGGCUGCUGGGAGGACCUCAUCAGAAUGGACUGGAUUGUUCCAUGUUAAACUCUGGAACACUGUAUGUCUUAGAGCUUACCAUUUUUUUUUCUUUCUGACUUUGAUCUGGUCAAUCAGUGAGUCAGAAUGGCUAAUCCUGGUAGUCUAUGACAUGAUGGCAGGAGGGGGCUGGCAUUUAGUAAAUACAUGAUACCCUGCUUUUUUUUUUCCUCUGGUAUGGCCUUUCAGCUCAUGAAUGGUGCUUCCACUACAGAUCAGAGAGACUAUAACAACAAACAUCUUUAGUCCAAGAGAAAGAGGGAUGCCUCACUCUUGAAAAACUCCUGGGGCUUCCAGGGCCUUCAGGCUGAAAGCACAAGAGUUAAACACUAUUGCUUGAAGAAAUCAAUACCCAGCCUUUGUUCUAUUCUGAAGGAUGAGACAGCUCUGUUCCAAUUCGAGCAGGAUGUGUGAAGCAUAUGAUAGCCUAUGGUGGCCUAGCCUGGCCAGCAAUUGUGAAGGAAGCAACCUAAUAACCCCAGGUGACUGUGACAAUGAAACUCACUGAGGACUUGAAAAUGAGAAUGUCAGUACAUUUAUUUAUCUAUUUCUUAAAGACAGAAGUGGAAAAGGUUUAAAGCAAAUAUCGUCUUGAAAUUAUGGAAUGUUUUCAAAAUCUUUUCUUUUACUGUUAAGGUAGCCCAAGAACUUGGUCUGCCUUAUACACAUUGGUUUCAAAUACCUUUUGACUACGGAAUCAUUUCUUGUUCAGAGAAGCCUAGUAAGUGUUACAGGAUAAAGCAGACUUGCUCCAUUGUAUGGGGAAUGGAGGCUAAUGGUCUGGUCCCUGACUAUUUCAUUUUCCCAGUGGUUACCAUCUCUAAGAUGGAGUCCUCUGGUCAUUCUGCUCAGGUUGUUCAUUUACCUGGUAACUCAGAUAAUGCCCUUUUCUGAUGGGUUUUCCGGAUGGAAAUCAUAUGGACCAACUGAAGGCUCAGGACUAGGAUGAUCUCAUUUCCAGUCCUUGCAGUGCAUGGCAGUGUCUGGCCCAUAAGGAGGUCAGCACGUGUUUGCUGAAUAUGCCUGACUUUCCCAUCUUGUCUACCAUUCUAUUACUACCUGCACCUGUACCUUUUCCACUCUUCUGUCCAAAUCUGGAAUUUGUCUGUUCUCCACAAUUUUGGCUCUUCCACCUCUAAGCUGUCCUGCCAAUAGUGAUACUUGCAUUAAAACACUAAGAUAUAAUAUCUGGAUGGAGAUGCUAAACCCACUGAAGGCAGGUAGAACCUUGAAUGUCAAGAACAUGACUCGUAAUUAAAUGAGGCCUCUCCACAGAUUAUCAUUCAGGUGUGUCUAUUUCUAUGCAAUGAACAUCUGUUGAGUGCCUACUAUGUAUUUGACACUUUCAGUUGAUGAAAUUAUAGCAGCUAAUAACACAAGCAACAUCCCUGCUACUAAGACCUUACUUUCCACAAGAGAAAAGCAAAUAUAAACAACAUGAAAAAGUGAACCAAACAUAACAUCCAUGAACACCACAAUGCUAAUUUACACAAAGUGAAGCAACAGGGUGGCUGGGUGCCUCUUUACAUUAUGUCAUCAGGAAAAGCCUCCCUGAGAAGGUAACAGGUAGAAGACUGAGUAGCCAGGAGGAGCCACAGAGAUCAGAGGAAGAGGAUUUCAACAAAAGGAAGUUAACUAGUGCAAAGUCUUAUGUAUGCUUUAAGAAGCAGGGCACAAGUAAGGCAGUAGAUUAGAUCAGAGAGUUCUGAAGGGCCCAGGUCAUGUAGGGCUCUCUGAGCCACGGCAAGUCUUGUAUUGUAAUGAUUUGAACAUCAUGGGAAGCCUUGGUGAGUUUUUAAAAGUCAAACUGGGUAUUUUGAAUAAUUACAGAUUCAUAUGCAGUUGUAAGAAAUAAGCAGAAAUCCUAUGUAUCCCAAUGUUAAUAUCUUGCAACAUUGUAAUGCAACAUCACAACCAGUAAAUUGACAUUAAUAUAAUCCACGGAUCUUACUCAGAUUUCCCCAGUUUUACUUGUAGUCUUUUGUGUGUGUGUGUGUGUGUGUGUGUGUGUAUUUUAUGCAAUCUUAUCCCUUAUGUAGUCCUUUAUCUACUACCACAGACAAUACAGAACAGUUCUAUAACCACAAAGAGACUUCAUGUUGCUCUUCUGUAGCCACAUCCAUAUCUCUCCCACCUGCCCCCCCCCCCAUCCCAAACUCCUGGCAACU